UACGUAGGGACCAAGCGUUGUUCGGAUUUACUGGGCGUAAAGGGCGCGUAGGCGGCAUGACAAGUCACUUGUGAAAUCUCCGGGCUUAACUCGGAACGGCCAAGUGAUACUGUCAAGCUAGAGUGCAGAAAGGGCAAUCGGAAUUCUUGGUGUAGCGGUGAAAUGCGUAGAUAUCAAGAGGAACACCUGAGGCGAAGGCGGGUUGCUAGGCUGACACUGACGCUGAAGCGCGAAAGCCAGGGAGCAAACGGG
rnacentral:rRNA from 1 species